GAUGAACGCUGGCGGCGUGCCUAAUACAUGCAAGUCGAGCGAAUGGAUUAAGAGCUUGCUCUUAUGAAGUUAGCGGCGGACGGGUGAGUAACACGUGGGUAACCUGCCCAUAAGACUGGGAUAACUCCGGGAAACCGGGGCUAAUACCGGAUAACAUUUUGAACCGCAUGGUUCGAAAUUGAAAGGCGGCUUCGGCUGUCACUUAUGGAUGGACCCGCGUCGCAUUAGCUAGUUGGUGAGGUAACGGCUCACCAAGGCAACGAUGCGUAGCCGACCUGAGAGGGUGAUCGGCCAAACUGGGACUGAGACACGGCCCAGACUCCUACGGGAGGCAGCAGUAGGGAAUCUUCCGCAAUGGACGAAAGUCCGACGGAGCAACGCCGCGUGAGUGAUGAAGGCUUUCGGGUCGUAAAACUCUGUUGUUAGGGAAGAACAAGUGCUAGUUGAAUAAGCUGCACCUUGACGGUACCUAACCAGAAAGCCACGGCUAACUACGUGCCAGCCGCCGCAGUAA
rnacentral:rRNA from 1 species